GGAGAGGUACCGAAGGUACCGAAGUGGUCGUAACGGGCCCGACUCGAAAUCGGGUUGUCGGUUAGUAGCCGGCACGUGGGUUCGAAUCCCACCCUCUCCGCCA
rnacentral:tRNA from 1 species